GACGAACGCUGGCGGCGUGCCUAAUACAUGCAAGUCGAACGCUUUUUCUUUCACCGGAGCUUGCUCCACCGAAAGAAAAAGAGUGGCGAACGGGUGAGUAACACGUGGGUAACCUGCCCAUCAGAAGGGGAUAACACUUGGAAACAGGUGCUAAUACCGUAUAACACUAUUUUCCGCAUGGAAGAAAGUUGAAAGGCGCUUUUGCGUCACUGAUGGAUGGACCCGCGGUGCAUUAACUAGUUGGUGAGGUAACGGCUCACCAAGGCAACGAUGCAUAGCCGACCUGAGAGGGUGAUCGGCCACACUGGGACUGAGACACGGCCCAGACUCCUACGGGAGGCAGCAGUAGGGAAUCUUCGGCAAUGGACGAAAGUCUGACCGAGCAACGCCGCGUGAGUGAAGAAGGUUUUCGGAUCGUAAAACUCUGUUGUUAGAGAAGAACAAGGAUGAGAGUAAAACGUUCAUCCCUUGACGUAUCUAACCAGAAGCC
rnacentral:rRNA from 1 species